rnacentral:misc_RNA from 1 species
AAAAAAAGUACCAAGGACAUUUAUAGGGACAUGGAGAACACACCCACUUAAUACAAGUUAGAGAGGAAUGAUUGAGAAUUUAGACGGUUUCCAUAUCAUUAUCAGAACCACAAUAUGGCAGAUUGAAUAUAUCCAAGUUACAAUAGUGACUCAAGACAAGAGGUAGACCUAGGAUGACACUACAAAGUGGUUACAAAGAAUUCAGUGUAACUAAGGCUUGGUAUAAACAUAGCCCAAAAGACAAAGGGGGGUCCACAUGGCUAAUCCCAAAUAAACUGAAAUUUAUGCGCAGUUGAGUUGCGUUUUUUUCCAGA